rnacentral:rRNA from 1 species
GACGAACGCUGGCGGCGUGCCUAAUACAUGCAAGUCGAACGCAGUGGGGACGGGUGCGUAACACGUGGGUAACCUCCCAUCAGAGGGGAUAACACUUGGCAACAGGCGCUAAACCGCUACUGAUGGAUGGACCCGUGGUGCAUGAGCUAGUUGGUGAGGUAACGGCUCACCUAGGCCACGAUGCAUAGCCGACCGGAGAGGGUGAUCAGCCACACUGGGACUGAGACACGGCCCAGACUCCUACGGGAGGCAGCAGGAGGGAAUCUUCGGCAAUGGACGAAAGUCUGACCGAGCAACGCCGCGUGAGUGAAGAAGGUUUUCGGGUCGUAAAGCUCUGUUGUUAGGGAAGCGUUAUCUAACCAGAAAGCCACGGCUAACUACGUGCCAGCAGCCGCGGUAAUAC